AUUGAACGCUGGCGGCAGGCUUAACACAUGCAAGUCGGACGGUAGCAGGAGAAAGCUUGCUUUCUUGCUGACGAGUGCGGACGGGUGAGUAAUGCUUGGGGAUCUGUCUUAUGGAGGGGGAUAACGACGGGAAACUGUCGCUAAUACCGCGUAGAGUCGGGAGACGAAAGUGCGGGACCUUAGGGCCGCAUGCCAUGAGAUGAGCCCAAGUGUGAUUAGGUAGUUGGUGGGGUAAAGGCCUACCAAGCCGACGAUCGCUAGCUGGUCUGAGAGGAUGGCCAGCCACACCGGGACUGAGACACGGCCCGGACUCCUACGGGAGGCAGCAGUGGGGAAUAUUGCGCAAUGGGGGCAACCCUGACGCAGCCAUGCCGCGUGAAUGAAGAAGGCCUUCGGGUUGUAAAGUUCUUUCGGUGAUGAGGAAGGUUGGUGUGUUAAUAGCAUGCCAACUUGACGUUAAAUACAGAAGAAGCACCGG
rnacentral:rRNA from 1 species